rnacentral:rRNA from 1 species
GACGAACGCUGGCGGCGUGCUUAACACAUGCAAGUCGAACGGAAAGGCCCUUUCGGGGGUGCUCGAGUGGCGAACGGGUGAGUAACACGUGGGUGAUCUGCCCUGCACUUUGGGAUAAGCCUGGGAAACUGGGUCUAAUGCCGGGUAGGACCUCGGCCUGCAUGGGUUGGGGUGGAAAGUAUGGUGUUUUCGAGCGCUGUGCGGUGGGGGAUGGGCCCGCGGCCUAUCAGCUUGUUGGUGGGGUGAUGGCCUACCAAGGCGACGACGGGUAGCCGGCCUGAGAGGGUGUCCGGCCACACUGGGACUGAGAUACGGCCCAG